rnacentral:rRNA from 1 species
AUGUUUAUGAAGGAAAGGGAAGAAAUUGAUGAAGUGUUCCUUAAACAGGAACCUAUGUUGAAACAUAACCUUCCCAUUGAAAUUCUUGGGGAUCCCCCUCCACCCAAGGGUGAUCCUGUGUUUGAACUCAAACCACUACCUAAUAAUCUUAAAUAUUCUUAUCUUGAUGAAAAAGAAAUAUAUCUUGUUAUUAUUAGUGCUAACCUUUCAGAGAAAGAAGAAGAAAGAUUAUUGAAAACUCUGAAGAAGCACCGAGCUGCUAUUGGAUAUACUCUGGAUGAUCUUAAGGGCAUUAGUCCCACAUUAUGUCAACACAAAAUUUCAGUGGAGAAAGAUGCCAAACUAGUUAGAGAUCCUCAAAGACGAUUAAAUCCCAAGAUGAAGGAAGUGGUAAGAAAGGAGAUACUAAAGCUCCGUGAGGCAGGUAUUAUUUAUCCCGUUGCUGAUAGUGAAUGGGUAAGCCCUGUCCAUUGUGUCCCCAAAAAGGGAGGUAUUACCGUUGUUCCUAAUGAUAAAGAUGAAUUGAUCCCGCAAAGAAUUAUUACAGGUUAUAGGAUGGUAGUUGAUUUUCGUAAGUUAAAUAAAGCUACUAAGAAAGAUCAUUACCCUUUACCUUUUAUUGAUCAAAUGCUAGAAAAGCUAUCCAAACACACACAUUUUUGCUUUCUAGAUGGCUAUUCUGGCUUCUCUCAGAUACCUGUGUCAGCAAAGGAUCAAUCUAAAACUACUUUUACUUGCCCUUUUGGUACUUUUGCUUAUAGACGUAUGCCUUUUGGUUUACGUAAUGCACCUGCUAUCUUUCAAAGAUGCAUGAUGGCUAUAUUUUCUGAUUUUUGUGAUAAGAUAUGUGAGGUAUUCAUGGAUGACUUCUCCGUCUAUGGAUCCUCCUUUGAUGAUUGUUUGAGCAACCUUGAUUGA